ACAUGCAAGUAGAACGCUGAAGAGAGGAGCUUGCUCUUCUUGGAUGAGUUGCGAACGGGUGAGUAACGCGUAGGUAACCUGCCUUGUAGCGGGGGAUAACUAUUGGAAACGAUAGCUAGUACCGCAUAACAAUGGAUGACACAUGUCAUUUAUUUGAAAGGGGCAAUUGCUCCACUACAAGAUGGACCUGCGUUGUAUUAGCUAGUAGGUGAGGUAACGGCUCACCUAGGCGACGAUACAUAGCCGACCUGAGAGGGUGAUCGGCCACACUGGGACUGAGACACGGCCCAGACUCCUACGGGAGGCAGCAGUAGGGAAUCUUCGGCAAUGGGGGCAACCCUGACCGAGCAACGCCGCGUGAGUGAAGAAGGUUUUCGGAUUGUAAAGCUCUGUUGUAAGUCAAGAACGAGUGUGAGAGUGGAAAGUUCACACUGUGACGGUAGCUUACCAGAAAGGGACGGCUAACUACGUGCCAGCAGCCGCGGUAAUACGUAGGUCCCGAGCGUUGUCCGGAUUUAUUGGGCGUAAAGCGAGCGCAGGCGGUUUGAUAAGUCUGAAGUUAAAGGCUGUGGCUCAACCAUAGUUCGCUUUGGAAACUGUCAAACUUGAGUGCAGAAGGGGAGAGUGGAAUUCCAUGUGUAGCGGUGAAAUGCGUAGAUAUAUGGAGGAACACCGGUGGCGAAAGCGGCUCUCUGG
rnacentral:rRNA from 1 species